ACCCUGCAGACUCCUUGCCCAUCAGAUCUAAACCCCGGUCCAGGUGGUUGUAUAAGGAGGAAAAGCAAAUGGACACGACUUCAGUUCUUUGGUGACUCGCAGAGACAAUG
rnacentral:snoRNA from 1 species